rnacentral:rRNA from 1 species
AUUGGGAUUCGACUAAGCCAUGCGAGUCGUGAGGGUUCGGCCCUCGGCGAACGGCUCAGUAACACGUAGAUAAUUUGCCCUUAGGUGGAGGAUACCCUCGGGAAACUGAGAAUAAUACUCCAUAGACUUAGAAUGCUGGAAUGCUUUUAAAUUGAAAGAUUUAUCGCCUAAGGAUAAGUCUGCGGACUAUCAGGUCGUAGUUAGGGUAAAUACCUGACUAGCCUACGACGGAUACGGGUUGUGAGAGCACUAGCCCGGAGAUGAUAUCUGAGACACGAUAUCAGGCCCUACGGGGCGCGGCAGGCGCGAAAACUUCGCACUGUGCGAAAGCACGACGAGGGAAUCCCAAGUGCUGGCUCGUAAGAGUCAGCUGUUUCUUUGUCUAAAAAACAGAGAGAGUAAGAGCUGGGUAAGACGGGUGCCAGCCGCCGCGGUAAUACCUGCAGCUCAAGUGGUGGCCGCUAUUAUUGGGCCUAAAACGUCCGUAGCCGGUUCUAUAAAUGCCUGGGUAAAUCGUACGGCUUAACCGUACGAAUUCCGGGUAGACUGUUCAACUUGGGACCGGGAGAGGCUAGAGGUACUCCUGGGGUAGAGGUGAAAUUCUGUAAUCCUAGGGGGACCACCAGUGGCGAAGGCGUCUAGCUAAAACGGGUCUGACGGUGAGGGACGAA